rnacentral:rRNA from 1 species
UACAGAGGAUGCAAGCGUUAUCCGGAAUGAUUGGGCGUAAAGCGUCUGUAGGUGGCCUUUUAAGUCCGCCGUCAAAUCCCAGGGCUCAACUCUGGACAGGCGGUGGAAACUACCAAGCUGGAGUACGGUAGGGGCAGAGGGAAUUUCCGGUGGAGCGGUGAAAUGCGUAGAGAUCCGGCGGAACACCGGUGGCGCAGGCGGUCCCCUGGGCCGAGGCCGACGCUGGGGCGCGAGAGCGCGGGGAGCGAACCGG